rnacentral:lncRNA from 1 species
CAAUUAUCACAACAUAUCAACUCGCCACCAUCACCACAUCGCCCGCAACUGUCAUCAUUUUGGUCCCUUUCCUCAGCUUGGCCAGUUUGAGGAACAGCUCUUCGUGCCUUGUAUUCAUCUGACCACGCCUCAAGCUGACAUAAGGUAAACGGCUUACCAGACUCCAUGAAAAGAUUCAAACAGGGACGAUUGAGAGCUCUCCGUGCCUUGUAUUCAUCUGACCAAGCCUCAAGCUGACAUAAGGUAAAUGGCUUACCAGACUCCAUGAAAAGAUUCAAACAGGGACGAUUGAGCUUAAAACCAGCAUGACUUUUGAACUCAGAGAUGGAUAGCACCUUGUCACAGCAAUUGCAGAAUAUUCCAUCCCUAGUUAUUACGCCGGUUUUUACCAC